UCUAUUCCUCCACGAUGCGAUUCAGCAUGUUCCAACUUAUGCUAAACUUCUUAAGGAACUCUGCACACAAAAGCAUGUACCGAGAAUAUUAGAGAGAAUUAUGCUAUCUGAGGAUGUUAUUGCAAUCUUGUUGAACCCAUUAUCUUAGAAAAUGAAAGAUCCUGGUGCUCUUUUGAUUUCAUAUGUUAUAGGAGGCAUCACCUU
rnacentral:lncRNA from 1 species